AGCCUGCCUCAGGAGUACUGCCCUCCAGCCAGGACUCCUGCUGAUGGGUUGUUGUGAGUUGUGGAUGGCAUACAGAUGGCAGACAGGCCAGCAGUACUCAGCUAAGCAAGAUGUCAACACUGUGGAGUUGUAGAUCAUAUUUGAUAAUCUAGAAGGAUACACCGCUGCCAUGGUAGUUUUCCAUAUGUGCAUGCACACCUGCGUCCUCAAAUGUACUCACAGAAGAAGGAGUUAAUGGCUGCGACUGGCUGCAUGAACUCUCCAGCCUCUCCCAGGACUUCCCAAUAAGCAGAUGAUUUUUUUGCGUCUCUGUGCCUGCAAUAAAGAGAAGGGCAAUAAGAAAAUAAGGGCAAAAUAAUGAAUCUAUGGCUUGUGAAUGGAGUGAAGCUCACUUCUGUGCAGCUCUGCCUUCAUCUGAAUUAAAUUCAACUGUUGGUUACCCUUUAGAAAGAAAAGGUUUUCCACUGUCUGGUGUCUUCAUUGGUAUGCUACUGAUUUGUAUAGGGUUUAGGUGGUGUUCAGAAGAUCACCUCAAUGACUUAUCAAUAGAAAUUUUUCACCAGUGUAACAUUUUUUUUUUUGGUAGUGAACUAUAAAAUCGUCAGGCUAUGGCUAACUAACUAGUUUAUGUUCUUUUUAAUCUGCUUAAAUUUUUUUAUUUUAAAAAAGGGACUUUUACCCCUUUUCUCAUACAAUGAUAAUCUAAUGGUAAUUUACAGGUGAUGGGUACAUUAAAAAUGUAAAUGAUUCCUCCACUAUUAUGAAAUUUUAAUUUUCUUUUGAAAGUGACAGAUGUACUGGCUACUUAAAGCCUUCCAAAGACUGCAGAUAAGUUCCAAGAAUAAGGAUCCUAAUUAAAAGUCAGUGUAAUGAUUAAACUAAUUCUCCACAUUCACCUCAUAUUUCACAGAGGAAAUUUAGCUCUCAUUUGCUAUCCGAAAUUGUCAUAUAUUGUGGCUACUAUUAACAAUCUUCUGUUCUUUUGCAAUAAAAUGUUGCUCUGUGAGACAGUAACUAUAAAGUGUUUUUUUAUUUUAUGUUUGAAAAUGUUGCAAGACUGUGUAUGUGAUGAAAGAUAUGCAAAUUCCUACACAUCCCAAAUAACAUGUGUUUAUGUAUAUUUGUAUUUCCUUUUGUGAAUUUUGGAUUUUUUUUUCAAUGCUCAUGAUCUAAAGGUGAAAUAUGACUAUAAUGAUAUCAUGGAAGAGUUGCAAAUACUUAUAAGAUUUAUAAAGACUAGUACUGCCUCCUCUUACAAUUAGAAUUGUUGCCAGGAGAGGAAUUUGAACAGUCAUUUCAAUGCUAAACUUUCCAUUUCAGUAGUCAAAACCUAUUUCUUAGGUUUCUUUCUACUGAGUAGUAGAUCUUUUCCUCUUUUGAAGUUUUGAGUUUUGAAACAACUAGGAAAAAGCAGAAUUUGAUUUGUUCCACCAAGAGACUAACCUUACUGUUGUUUUUUAAUUAUUAUUUUAUUUUUAAUGAAAAAAAGAUUUCAUACAUCUCUAGUUGAGAAAUGUUAGAUGCAGAGAAGGGGACAGUACUGUCUUUGAUAGGAAAUACACUUGGUCUGAAGGCUACAGGGAAUUUUGGGGUAUGGUACUUCAAUUUAUUCACUUCAUCACUCUUAGUUUUCUUAUUUAGUACUCUCUCUGGUGGUAAGUG